AAAUUGAAGAGUUUGAUCAUGGCUCAGAUUGAACGCUGGCGGCAGGCCUAACACAUGCAAGUCGAACGGUAACAGGAAGCAGCUUGCUGCUUCGCUGACGAGUGGCGGACGGGUGAGUAAUGUCUGGGAAACUGCCUGAUGGAGGGGGAUAACUACUGGAAAC
rnacentral:rRNA from 3 species